UCCAAAAGAAAAUUGUUUUGGGGAAGAGAAACAAGAGGGUUAAGCGACAAAUAUGUUCCAAUAAUGUGUACCUUUUAAUUUUUUCCUUUCAUCUUUUAUCCUUCCUACUUCCUAUAUCGUGCAGGAAAUAGCAAUCUAAAAAGCAUUAGAGCCACGCAUUUUUAUCAUGCUACCCGCGCCGUCUGUAUAAUUCAAGCCUCGCUGCGCUAAUAACCUGUACGUUUUCAAUCAUAUAUCUCAACUUGACAGCUCUGCUACACAAACAAUAAUGUGGAGCUACGGCUUGCGAGAGAUACAUGCAACUAUCUGAAAAAUAUAUACAGGAUUCUGUCGAAAGACCUUCGCUCAAACGUCGAAGAACUGCGUAUAUAUAUACUUCAGUUAUAGUCAGUGCAUCUGUCUCACGCCGGAUCUGUUGUUAUCGUCACUAUAACAACCCUAGCACCGUUCGAGAAUAUAGAACAAUAAUUUGGGUCCGUUUAUUGAAUUUCUUUGGUGAGCGAAUUUCCCAACAGGCUAUCGCUAAUUGAUAGGGGAUCCGAGGUACCUACGAUUUAACGUCCUUAUUCCGAGAAGACACGGAAGCCUAACCAUUUACUGAUGUCAAUGUAACGGUCGCUCUUUCUGGUCAAUAUCUUAAGACCUUGAGUAGAGAUCCGACCAAGAAUUGAACCCGGCUCUCUUAGCUUGAAAGACAAGCGUCCGUGAACACAUAUAGGACGCUCGGGACAAAUUCAAGCGCGAUAGCUCUGGGUAGGGAAUUGACUCGAGGGCAUGCAGCUAUAACUGCACGAAUUACCGAAUUAUUAAAUGCCACUAAACGCGUUUGCGUGCGUGGCCCUUUCAAUAUAACUGACUCACUUAUUCUCAUAAAAAACAACACGAUAACAUAGAUUUGUAUCAACUAAAUUGUGGCUUCAAUUUACACGCAUAUUUAAUAAAAACUAGCACUAUGCAAUUUAAAACGCCGGGCAUCAAUGAUACAGUCUUGGAAUAAAACACGAGCGUUAUUAACAUGAAUUUGGCAUGCAAAUACAUAAGGUUUUGUUAAUUGAUUCAUAUUGUUCUUCACAAAAAAUUGUUUUGAAAAAUAUCAGUUUAGCAUUGUAUCUGAACAGUACAUUAGUUUAAAUUUAUUUGUAAAAUUGUUAAAGGUUAAAAGAUGUUUAAAUAUGAGAUACAGGACAUACAGUCAAACCAAAAUGUUAAAGUUCCACUAUUAAAGUUCCACACAUGUCUUUUCACAAAAGGAACCUCGAAGCAGAUGUUCCCAAGAUCUUUGCAAGCUGUUCCAAGCUGUCUUCAAAGCCAAGCGUCAAAAUAACCUCACGUAUAGAUACCGACUAUGUUAAAUUACCACGAAAUGAACACAAAUAAGUACAUUUUAAGAAAGUUUGAUAUUCUUCAGAGAUACACAGCAAUAGGAAGAAGUACUAAAGUCAGGAUGCAACCUUGUGUCAAGCGAACGCCCGAUCCCUUAGUGGUAUUCGAUGCCAUGGUCGUUGGCGCUGGCGCUGUAGUUGAACUAGUAUUCGACUGCGAUUGAACGUAUACAAAUGCCAAGCAUAGAAUGAGAACGAAGAUAAAUUUCCCAGACAUUUUAAGUUUGCUUCAACGAAUAAACAGAGCUUCUUAAAACACACAGAAGUUUCCUCCAAGACUUGGAACACAAUACUUGCGCAUCGGAGUGGCGCGACUGAAGAUCACACCUCUUCGAUGGAACUGGCCAAUCAAAUUCGUUUCAUUUGCAUCCUGAGUGCUUGGACAAC